rnacentral:rRNA from 1 species
GACGAACGCUGGCGGCGUGCUUAACACAUGCAAGUCGAACGGAAAGGCCCUGCUUGCAGGGUACUCGAGUGGCGAACGGGUGAGUAACACGUGGGUGAUCUGCCCUGCACUUCGGGAUAAGCCUGGGAAACUGGGUCUAAUACCGGAUAGGAGCCAUUUUGAGUGUGAUGGUUGGAAAGUUUUUUCGGUGUAGUAUGAGCUCGCGGCCUAUCAGCUUGUUGGUGGGGUAAUGGCCUACCAAGGCGGCGACGGGUAGCCGGCCUGAGAGGGUGGACGGCCACAUUGGGACUGAGAUACGGCCCAGACUCCUACGGGAGGCAGCAGUGGGGAAUAUUGCACAAUGGGCGCAAGCCUGAUGCAGCGACGCCGCGGGGGGGAUGACGGCCUUCGGGUUGGAAACUCCUUUCGCUAGGGACGAAGCUUUUUGUGACGGUACCUAGAUAAGAAGCACCGGCUAACUACGUG